UACAGAGGUCUCGAGCGUUAGGCGGAAUCACUGGGCUUAAAGCGUGUGUAGGCGGAUCGUUAAGUGCCUUGUGAAAUCCCACGGCUCAACCGUGGAACUGCUUGGCAUACUGGCGGUCUCGAGGGAGGUAGGGGCAUGCGGAACUGUAGGUGGAGCGGUGAAAUGCGUUGAUAUCUACAGGAACUCCGGUGGCGAAAGCGGCGUGCUGGACCUCUUCUGACGCUGAGGCGCGAAAGCUAGGGGAGCAAACGGG
rnacentral:rRNA from 1 species